UCACUGCAUUUACUACAUCGCGCACAGUC
rnacentral:sRNA from 1 species